AUUAAUAUAGGUCCCUGUUCUCAAGCUCACCUUUAGUUGGAAAGCCAAGGUCUUGCAAACGAAACCAACUUAGUUUCAUGUUCGUCAGGUCCUUUUGGUGGUGGAUGGUGGUGGCUUUUGAUGAAACAGGGCACACAGAAGGACACAGGUGCCUGCCCCCCGCCCCAGCCUCCCCAUCGGGGGGUGUGCUGCAAUGAGGAUGACUCUUAGGCCACAUUCCGAAACAGGAACCACCUUCUAUCCAUGAGUAGGUAGAAGCCAGCCAGUCCUGCCAGCUGGUCUGUAAUUUUGGUGAGAACUGCACUCGUUCUUCUUUCAGGCUUUCCCACAAACACCUGCGUGUAAGUUUCACUGGAGGCCAAUGCGGCUGCACCCCGACAAUGAAUCAACUCACUCACGUCAGAGGGCAGAAGCCCCCAGUUAGUGCAAGACCAGAGCCAAGCAGGGCUAAGAUCUCGGGCUCCCUUUCUUCUGCCCAUGAGAAGAGAGCGAUGCUUGACCGAGCCUUUCUGGUCCACCACGUAUCUUCAACACUGCCCGUUCGAGAAGCGACAGGUUGCUUCCACUCUCCUUGACCAAAAAGCCAGUCCUUUGGUGCAGACAGCAAUGAGGAUAUUUGAAGUUGCUGCAGCACCCACCCCCCACCCCCCGGCCAGGGCUGGUUAAAUGUUUGAUAACCACCCUGGAUGAGGGAGUUCCUGGUUUAGAUACUUCAGAUACAAACUGAAAGCUCUAGGUUGUGGCUUAAAAUUGACUUGCACACAGAUGUCAUACUGUUAGAGAAAAUAUAAAAGUGAAAAUCCUUGCCGUGGGAUAGGUACAGAUAAAGGUGUGAGAACCCAAACAUGGAGGUGAGUGAGGACCUGCGUGGGGCUCACAGUGGUGGCUUAGAGAAGUUUCUGGAGAAAGCCAUGUCUCUUUUUCGUUCGUUCAAGUUUUAUUGAAGUAUGGUUGAUGUACAGUGGUGUGAUAAUUUCUGCGGUACAACAAAGUGACUCAGUUAUACGUGUCCACGCAUCCAUUCUUUUUCAGGUUCUUCUCCCAUGUAGACGCUCACAGAAUAUCGGGUGGAGUUCUCCGUGCUGCGCCAAGGUUAAUGGAAUGACUGGCCAGCAGGGAUCAGAGAAGGCCAUCCAAAGCAGAGCUCCGGAGGUUCAGCGAUGCUUAGAUGAGAGGGCCGUGGUUCCGUGGUUCUCCGCAUCCAUGUGCCUGAGCGUCUCGCGAGGACAUCUCCGGGAAUCUCCAGCUGCACCAGAAGCCCGCAGAUUGUUCUCUGAAAUGCUGGCACUCGGUCACACCCUUACCAGGAAGGUCACCGCCCCCACUGCAAACACCCUGGGACCCUGGAUCAGAAACCAUCCUAUAGAGAAACAUGGUAUUCCUAGCCUCACCCCGGAGCCUAAGGACACGUCAUCAGAAGUGGUAGGUUUGCAUCUACAGAGAUAUUUAGAGGAGAAGCAUCUCUUAAAACCUCUCUGCAAAAGUCCAGAAGUGGGGUGA
rnacentral:lncRNA from 1 species